AUUGAACGCUGGCGGCAGGCCUAACACAUGCAAGUCGAGCGGAUGAAGGGAGCUUGCUCCUGGAUUCAGCGGCGGACGGGUGAGUAAUGCCUAGGAAUCUGCCUGGUAGUGGGGGAUAACGUCCGGAAACGGGCGCUAAUACCGCAUACGUCCUGAGGGAGAAAGUGGGGGAUCUUCGGACCUCACGCUAUCAGAUGAGCCUAGGUCGGAUUAGCUAGUUGGUGGGGUAAAGGCCUACCAAGGCGACGAUCCGUAACUGGUCUGAGAGGAUGAUCAGUAACACUGGAACUGAGACACGGUCCAGACUCCUACGGGAGGCAGCAGUGGGGAAUAUUGGACAAUGGGCGAAAGCCUGAUCCAGCCAUGCCGCGUGUGUGAAGAAGGUCUUCGGAUUGUAAAGCACUUUAAGUUGGGAGGAAGGGCAGUAAGUUAAUACCUUGCUGUUUUGACGUUACCAACAGAAUAAGCACCGGCUAACUUCGUA
rnacentral:rRNA from 1 species